GCCGCGGAGUGAGGGAGCGAGAGUCUUCCUUAGCUUCCCCGCCAUGGGCGUCGCUUCGUAGCCGGGCUGCUCCGGGAAAGGCCUCGUACAGCACGCAUUCACCAGAAUCCUGUCAGCUUUCCUCUUCUCAUCCAGACGCCUGGCCAGGAUCCUUGAUAAGACCGUGACCCCCAACUUAGACACCCCAUAAGGAAAACUAGACAAUCCACCAGCCCAGGAGGGGACAAGCAGGCUUAAUCCCCCUCCUCGUCAUCUCUGGCUCCAGCCCCACCCUGGCCCUUCCUGGCAUUCUUCCUCUUCACGUGGCUGGGGUGGCCACCCCAAUAGGGAGGCAGAGGGAGAAGUCCAUGUGCUUCUGGGAAUCCAGGCGGACAGUGAAGAACAGGAUAUUUACCACCUGCUCACGGAUAUGAUACUGUUGGAUCAGCACACGAGCGUGGCGGAUGGACUUAAGCCAAGCCCAGCUUGAAGACCUGGGUCUGUAGGCAUCUCUCUAAGAAAUUAUCGAUCUUCAGGCCCAGGAUGUAAUCCAGCUUCAUCUUGCCCUCAUCCAGCACCCCAGUGCGGACCAGCCACUGCAGCAGGGCAAUGCCUUCGAACAGACGCCGUGGGUCCUUCUCGUCAAGCGUCAGCAACUCCCAGGCGGCCUUAUGGAUCUUGAUCAGGGUAAAUUUGACCCUCCAGACCUCACAUUUGUUCUGGAGCCCAUACUCACCAAUCAGCUUUAGCUUUUGGUGGAGAUGAGAUUUCUCGAAGGGUCUCUGCGGGGUCACAUAAGUUUUGUGACAAACCCAGCUCCGGGCCGCUGGCAUGUUGGCUCCACUUGCCCAUCUAUGCCUAAGCGCAGGCCCUGGUCACUGAGAAAGAGCUCAAAUUUUUUAUAUAUUUCAUCUAAGGUGUUGAUUCUAUUGAUACCCUUAUCCUUUUAAUAUGCCCUUAUCCUUUUAAUGUUGGUAAUGAUGCUACCUGUCAUUUCUGAGACUGGUUUGUGUCUUUCGUGUUUUUUUCUGAUCUGUCUGGCUAGAGGUUUAUCAAUUGAUUUGAUUUUCCUCAAACUUUUGGUUACAAUGAUUCUUUCUCUCUCUCUCUCUCUUUUCCUGAUUAUAUUAAUUUCUGUUCUGAUCUUUGUUUCCUUUCUUCUGCUUACUGGAUUUUAUUUGCUCUUUUUCUAGUUUCUUACUGUAACAAGGCAGAAGUCAUUGAUUUGCAUUGAUUUGAGACUUCUUUUCUAAUGUAGGCAGUAAGUGGUGUAAAUUCCCUUUUAGUAUGACUUUAGUGGCAUCUCACAUUGAUAUGUUUUCAAUUUCAUUCAGUUUAU
rnacentral:antisense_RNA from 1 species